GAAGCUGGAGUUGCUAGUAAUCGCGAAUCAGCAUGUCGCGGUGAAUACGUUCCCGGGCCUUGUACACACCGCCCGUCGCACCAUGAGAGUUGGCAAUACCCAACGUACGUGAUCUAACCCGCAAGGGAGGAAGCGUCCUAAGGUAGGGUCAGCGAUUGGGGUGAAGUCGUAACAAGGUAAC
rnacentral:rRNA from 1 species